GACGAACGCUGGCGGCGUGCUUAACACAUGCAAGUCGAACGGUGAAGCGCCUUCCUUUUUGGUUGGUGUGGAUGAGUGGCGAACGGGUGAGUAACACGUGAGUAACCUGCCCCCUUCUUCUGGAUAACCGCAUGAAAGUGUGGCUAAUACGGGAUAUUCUGGUUCUGUCGCAUGAUGGGUCUGGGUAAGCUAUUGUUUCGGUGGGGGAUGGGCUCGCGGCCUAUCAGCUUGUUGGUGGGGUUGUGGCCUACCAAGGCGGUGACGGGUAGCCGGCCUGAGAGGGGGGGCGGCGACAGUGGGACUGAGAGGGGGGCCAGAGUGCGACGGGAGGGAGCGGUGGGGGAUAGUGCACAAGGGGCGGAAGCGUGAUGCAGCGACGCCGCGUGCGGGGGGACGGCCUUCGGGUUGUAAACCGCGUUCGCCGGUGACGAAGCGUGAGUGACGGUAAUGGGUAAAGAAGCACCGGCUAACUACGUG
rnacentral:rRNA from 1 species